CCUACGGGAGGCAGCAGUAGGGAAUUUUGCGCAAUGGGCGAAAGCCUGACGCAGCAACGCCGCGUGAUCGAGACGCCCUUCGGGGUGUAAAGAUCUGUCAGUGGGGACGAAACUUGACGGUACCCACAGAGGAAGCACUGGCUAACACCGUGCCAGCAGCCGCGGUAAUACGGGGGGUGCAAGCGUUGUCCGGAAUCAUUGGGCGUAAAGAGUUCGUAGGCGGCACUUUAAGUCUGGUGGUAAAGCGACAGGUUCAACUUCUGAACGGCAGUGUAUACUUGGGGACUCGAUUGCGGUAGAGGUAAACGGAAUUACUGGAGUAGCGGUGAAAUGCUUAGAUAUAAGGUGGAACAUCGAUGGCGUAAGCGCUUUACUGGGCCGUAAUUGACGCUGAGGAACGAAAGCCAGGGUAGCAAAUGGGAUUAGAUACCCGAGUAGUC
rnacentral:rRNA from 1 species